UGGGGAAUAUUGGGCAAUGGGCGCAAGCCUGACCCAGCAACGCCGCGUGAAGGAAGAAGGCCCUCGGGUUGUAAACUUCUUUUAUCAAGGACGAAGAAAGUGACGGUACUUGAUGAAUAAGCCACGGCUAACUACGUGCCAGCAGCAGCGGUAAUACGUAGGUGGCAAGCGUUAUCCGGAUUUACUGGGUGUAAAGGGCGUGUAGGCGGGACUGCAAGUCAGAUGUGAAAACCAUGGGCUCAACCCAUGGCCUGCAUUUGAAACUGUAGUUCUUGAGUGUUGGAGAGGCAGGCGGAAUUCCGUGUGUAGCGGUGAAAUGCGUAGAGAUACGGAGGAACACCAGUGGCGAAGGCGGCCUGCUGGACAAUAACUGACGCUGAGGCGCGAAAGCGUGGGGAGCAAACAGG
rnacentral:rRNA from 1 species